UGCGUUCCCGAGCUCUAGGCGAGUGAUAGCUCUGCUGACCAGUCUCGGCAAUGCUCAAGCUGUCCUCCUUGUCCUCUGGGUUUCUAAACAUCCACUUCCAUAUCUUCACUGAAAGUCAAGAGUGAGAGAAUGAUGGGAAAAGGGGGUUGCAUCAGAAAAGUGGGAGCACCUUUAUUACUGAAACAGUGAGCAUUUUCAGGUCUUUUCUACACAGGCCCCACAUCUUUCACAGUUGAUCCCCCUGAAAAAGCCAGUGUUUCAGAAGGGUGACUCCCUGACAUCAAUUCUCCCACUUCUGGCUUAUUUAUUCUGUACCAACUGGCAGUUCCAACAUCAUCAAGGACCCCAGCCGAGAGUCUCCAUCUUCUGCAAGGUGAUAUGAUGUAAGGCAAAAGAAAGACACUGAAACAAGACUUCAGCCGAAAAUGGGGAUCUGGGAUGGUCUGAGCUGAGCUAGCGUCAAAGACACCAGCACUGAACUCAACUCUGAUGGGAGGCACCUUCCUCUUCCCCCUGCUGGAGCCAGCCAUGAAUGUAUCUUCAAACUCCCAUUACAUCUUAUUGGAACCUCCCCUUGCAUGUUGGUACCUGUCACUGAGGCUGCUGUGCCUCUUGACAAAGGUGGCUUCUACCUGUCUCUUCCACUGGCAUUAUUCUCUGCCACUUGGUUGGAAAUCAUCUGAACCCUAUCCCCUAUUACAGGGCUCCAAGAGGAUAUCUACGCCAGCAUGGAGCCUAGGUGUCGUGCUCUGCUCUGUGAUUGGGGUAAAUCCGGAACACCUUUGUGCCCUGUUAACUUUACCCAGGAGGUACAAAGAUGGCAAGCGUGGGGGCUAGAUG